GUGGGAACCUACCUCGGGGUCGCGGAUAGCGGCGGGAAACUGCCGGUAAUACGCGAUGACCUCCCCGGAGCAAAGGUGUGAUUCCGCCCUGGGAUGGGCCCACAUGCUAUUAGCUAGUUGGCGGGGUAAUGGCCCACCAAGGCUAAGAUGGCUAGCGGGUGUGAGAGCACGACCCGCGUCACUGGGACUGAGACACUGCCCAGACACCUACGGGUGGCUGCAGUCGAGAAUCUUCGGCAAUGGGCGCAAGCCUGACCGAGCGACGCCGCGUGCGGGAUGAAGGCCCUCGGGUUGUAAACCGCUGUCGAGGGGGACGAAAUUCCGGUGGGUACUCCCACCGGAUUGACCGAUCCCUGGAGGAAGGGUGGGCUAAGUCCGUGCCAGCAGCCGCGGUAAGACGGACCACCCAAACGUUAUUCGGAAUCACUGGGCUUAAAGAGUGCGUAGGCGGCCCUGAAAGUAAGGUGUGAAAUCCCACAGCUCAACUGUGGAACUGCGCUUUAAACUGCAGGGCUA
rnacentral:rRNA from 1 species